rnacentral:pre_miRNA from 1 species
GCGCGUCAGGGGGUCAGCAAAGUGGUUGUGUCUUAUGAGAUUCAUGAACAUAUCACAGCCAGCUUUGUUGACUUCUUUGUCGCGU